AGUUUCAAGGUCCCUCUGAAAAAUGCCAGCAACCGGAUCACAUUUUUAUUUUGUGCGUGCUUUUGAGAAGUUCUUGCGAAAGAGAAGAGACCGAUAAUCCACUUCCAACCUCAGUGGCAAAAGAGGAGUUGGAUGUUGAAAGUCGCAAGGGAAACAUGCAACACAUCAAGGAGGACACUCGCAUUUCGUUCGGAGAAUAUCAAAAGAACAAGAACGCCAUUCGAGAUCCGAGGCUAACAUCAAAAGCGUAACCAUAUCUGGGCCUUAAAAUCAAAACGGAGUCGGAGACACAAUCGCUGUCGAAGACGAAUCCAGCGACAAUAGACGACAGAGACUGGAUCGCUCUUUGCGUAGAGCAGUUGCAGAUGGAUAUGCAAGAAAGUUUGAUCCAACCGAGCACAGAGACAGCCCGCUCUUACAUGGAUGGAAUCAUCCCUUCUUCAUCUCAGCCGCAGUCAGAGCCAAGAUUAGAGCCAGAAACUUUUAACGAGGCAAAAUUCAUCGCUCUUUUUGCAGAUGAGAAGACGGGAGCUACGGGAGAACAGGUUCAAAACCACCAAACAACUGCUGCGUGUCCUAUCCGACGAUACAGAUGAUACAGGGGGCUUCCCAUAAUUGUGAUUUUUACUAUGUGUAUAAUAUUUAUUGCCCAAUGGGUUACAAAAAACUAUCAAAACUAGAGACGUUCCCUCGCUCUCUCUAUCUGGCGUAUUGCCAAAAUUUCCAAUCGAAAAGUUUAAUUGACAGACAAAUCGUAAAUUUUGCAAAGAGACAUUCAAGAAAUA